rnacentral:lncRNA from 1 species
UCCCAGUAAUACGGCGCUCAGUACAUUAGAACAAGUUAAAACCUAUCUUCAAACACAAGGAACCUGUAAAUGUGGACUGGAGUGUCCAAUUAGAUGUGAUUUAGUUUUCAAUUUUGAUUCCAAGAUCUGUAGUCGGCCGGCUUCGUACAAAGUACUUCCGAGUAGCCUGUCGGAUUUGACAAAUUUGUGCAAUCACAAGAGGAAGUCUAUGUCCUCAUCAGCGUCCUCAUCCUCUAUGCAGGCUUACACUCUCCCGCUUCAACCUGGCGCACAACAACCAAAUUUCGAUGCUGCUGGUUUAAGAAGGAAGAAACGCCGCACAGGCGUUGGGUCUUUGGUAGCGGAAAUGUCUCAGCUCAACUCUCUGCGGAUAGAGAAAGACUUACCAAAGAAAGCUCCAGCUCUCAUCUAAUGCAGGACUGGAAUGAAAGUGUAUUAGCUUCAGCUCAACUCAGUACUAAUAGUAUUAUUGGAAAUAAUAUAAAUCGGUUACCCAUUAACUACCAGCAAUCAAAUGCACCUGUGAUGAACCCCUCUCAACAAUAUGUUAGAUUUAAUUCACCAAGUCCUUCUGGUAUUAGGCCUGGCGAACAAUCAGUUAGUAAUCAGUUGAUAAUCAACGAAGACACAAACUCUAAUGCACCAUUCCAGAAUGCUGUUUACCAAUCAUUUUGCAACACUAAUCCGACACCUAUUGGUGUGAAUGCUUGUGCACAGUCUUCAGCAUUACAAAGGAUAGCUAAUGAUUUUCCAAACCAAGAGGGCUCAGGUUCAAGUCAAGUCAUUGAUUGUGCACAGAAUCAGCACCAUUCAGUGUCAGUAGGAGUAAAAUCUCCACUCUCCCAACAGCAAUUGCAACUGCUUCAUCAGCAACAACUUCAGCAGCAGCAAUUACAACAGCAAUUACAACAGCAACAGUUACAACAACACUUGCAGCAGCAAUUACAACAACAAAGUCAGCAACAACAAAUUCAAGAGCAAAAUCAGCAACAAAAAUUACAGCUUCAGCAAAUACAACAGCAACAACUUCUGCAACAAUUUCAGAUUCGUAAUAAUUAUCAGGCACUGCAACAACGGCAAGUUGAAGAACUUGGCAGUAAAAAUGUGAACAAUACAUCGUUAGAAUCUUGCUCCAUUUCUCAAUCACCAAUUCAGCCUACUCAAUUGAAUCCAAACUUGGAGUCAAGUUCCAAAUCCUUGGUGAUGAACACAGUUGAAACUUUAGCAAAAUCUCACCCUAAAAUUUGUAGUUCUGAAGACCCGAUGGCCAUCAAAAGUGAAUUAAGUUCAAGUCCAUCUGUUCUAAUAUCAAAUGAAAUUAAUCACUUGCCAAAUGUGGGAACUAGUCCUUUCCCAACAAACCAGUCGAAUCAGUUCCAGAAUUGUAAUCCCUCGUUAUUGCAGAGUCACAGAUUGUCAACACUCCUUUAAUAUCGAAUAAUCAGCAGAUGAAUCAACAAAGUAUUUUGAUACCCAAUCAAAAUCAGACCGUUGCACAGCAUAAUAUUGUCGAUCGUAGUUCAUGUCAACCACAAAUCAAUCAGAAUAACUCGCUACCCAUUCAAAAUCAAUCAAGUAGUCAGCAUAAUUUAAUAUUACCUUCUCACAUGUAUCCGGCGAACCAACAAAGUAUAACUGUGAAUGCCCAAAUCAGAUCCUAAAUCAACAAAAUGUAUUGGCUGUUAACACAAAUCAGUCUCUGAGUCAGCAAAAUUUAAUAGGAUUAAAUCAAUCUCAAGUUGGAUCUCAGCAGAAUUUAAUUUCUUCCAACCAAAAUCAUCAGAAUGUAAUACUAUCUAAUAAUCAAAAUCAGACUCUUAGUCACCUUUCCUCGAAUAUCACAAGCCAAGAUCAGUUAUUAACUCAACAGAACUUAAUGUCUCUCAGUCAGAACCAAAAUUUGGUGAACGGUAAUAACACAACGCUGCUUCAAAAUCACAACGUCUUGAGUUCGAAUAGUGCUUCAGGUUUUUCCUCUCAAAGUGGCAAUCAAGUAGACUUGGUGAAUAGUGAGAACAAUUUUAUCAGACAAAAUGCCAGUACUCUUCAGAAUCAGCAGCUGCUUGCUGCCAACCUGGUCCAGCAGCGUUUGAAUCAAACUCAAAUGAUGAACCAGCAUAGUUUCAAUGUGAAUAAUUUGUCCAGUGACCAAACAAGUCUGCUGCGGCAGAUUACGCAAAAUUCAUCCCAAAAUAUGGUGUCCUUGCAUAAUUCAGGAAAUCAAAUUCCGGCCACAAAUUAGGUUUGCAAAGUCCUGGAAUGAGCUCACUAAUACAACAAGACUCGCUUGUAGUACUGGUUCUCCCAUAAAUUCCCAAAUUUCAUUGAAUGAGUCAGUCCCCCACAGCACUCCGAACACUGCUACAAUUUACGCCAAUCAUCAAAUUCCAAACUCCCCUAUCAUGGUGCAAAACUCUGUUGGUUUAAGUAAUGCUGCUGUGGCUAUUAAUUCAUCUAAUGAUUGUCAGUCUAUUGCUCCAAGUAAUAAUGCUGAUAAUCAACGAAGUACGCCUGAUGUAAUAUAUUACAUACCAAUGAUUUGAGUCGCAGUUUAAGUAGUAACCCAAAUGUCAAUGCAGGCAAUACUAGUAGCAGUAACAUUUCUCUAUCUAAUAUUAAUGUAAUACAAAAUCAAGUGGGGUCAAAUCAAAAUCAAAUAACUUUAACUAAUCCCCUCGCCUUAUCCCAGCAGGUCAACGCAGUUGUAUCUUUGACCAAAAACUCGAAUCCCAAUGUCAUGCAAUUACAAAUCAUAACAUGGAGCAGAAUAUCUCAUCUCAGCCAGGAAAUUCUGGCAUCAGGCAGCGGUCUAUUCCUCCAUGGCAGCAGAAUAGGAUCAAUGCUCUUAGUCAACAACUUCAAGUACAGCCUUCGCCUUUAGAGGUAGCGCAACAGAGUGCCAAUCAGGUUCAAUGGAACGAUGAAAAUAUUACAUUCAAAAAAGCAACUCUAGUGAAACUUCCCACAAAAUCACCUUCAAAUCCGCAGUUAGCGAAAAAACCGAGGCCGGUCAUUGACAGUCAACAACAUCAGGCGAUGCCUCCCAAUAUAUCAGAUAGAUUCUCCCCUCAACAUCAGCUGCACCAUCUUUCAUGGAUGAUCCAAGUGGUUACCUUGCACAGCAAACAGCGUUGUUGAAUAGCACAAUCUCGCGACAGACAGGACUCCUUAAUUUCAACUGUGAUACCCCAAAUAUGCAACUGACAAGUAACAGGAACACAACAAAUCCUGGCUCUAAGAAUGCUGGGAGUUCUCAAGGCUCUGAUUCUACUUCGUCAGUUUCCCAGACAGCAGUGUUAAUCUUGCAAAUCGCAAGUUCUUAGAGAAUCAGAAUAGUAACCAAAUAGGCUGUGAUCGCAGUUCAACUGCAACAAACGAACUGAGUCAACAACCAGUCAGCUCAUCAUCCAUCCGGACGAGUGGUACCUUGAAUUCUCUUCAGAACUCCUUGGAUCCUUGCUCUCCAGUACAAGGUGGCACAGUUAGCACCAGUAUUCAAUCUCCAAUUCAAUCAGAGCGUUGUGUAACCGAUGCAAACCCUGUUCUCCCUCUUGUGCCUAAUGUAGAAACCAAAGAUGCUAAAAAUGAAUCAGAUACAAAAGAAGAAAACUCUAGGCCUACUGGUAUUAGGUUACCUACCGUAGUCACAACAUGGCAAGUGGUCAUACCGUCAGUAGCAACACGAUAACUUCUGUUCUUGCUGGUCGCACCAAUACUGCAACAGUUUCCAUUAAUGCCCCAGCAUCUAACUCUUCGCCUGUUAUUCCCUCCAUAAUCACAACAAAUUUACUACCACUAUGACUGCUACAUCUUGUCCCUCUGUGACAGCCGCCACCAAAUCUCCUCUUGAAAUGGUACAAAGUGUCGUCAGCAGUAUUCAAAUUCCUUCCUCUACAUCACAAAAUUCAAACUCUAAUGAGACAAAAUGCAAACUCAACCAACUAGUCAUAUAUUAGUUUCAAGUAACGGUCAUUUUAUUGUUGCAAGCUCUAGCAAUCAGAAUUUACCUAAAGCCCAUCAGCCGUCAAAUCAAGUUCCUUCAAUAGUCUCUCAAGCUAACAGUUCGAUAACGCAGGUUUUGCCAUUGAAUGUGGGAUCACAACAGGUUCUAAGCCAGCCCACCGUUUUGGUUAAUAACUUCUCGCCUCUACUGUUUCAGCAAGGGUUGAUCAAUGUUGAUGGAACCGUUAAUGCAGUACAAAUACCGCAGUUAACAGUAGCAACAAACAAUGUUCUGCAGGCAAAUCAAUUGAUUGAUGAAUGUAGAUCCAACAACGGACAAUUCUCCCCGCGACAGCAUACUUUGCUAUCCCCUGAUAGUUUGAACAAUAAAAGAAAGAAUCUAAACAAGAAACGAAAAGUCGCUGCUCCUACUGUUGCAUCCAUGCUUCAGAUUGCGUCUCAACAAAACCCAACAGGUAGUCAAAUUGGUAACAUACCAGGUAGUAUGAUGACAGUUCAGCAAGCCCAACCACAGCCUAGUUUCUCCACUCAACAAACAGCACCCAUGCUUCAGACUCUUAUUCUUCCCAACAAAAAUAGUCAGUUCACAAAUGGGCAGCCUAUGAUUGCGACAGCCAAUGUAUUACAGCCUUUGAACCUAGUGCCUAACUUUCCAACAAUUCAACAGUUCAUCGUCCCUACCGCUCUUGGUGGUAUGGUAAUGACUGCGAGUGAUGGCACUGCGACUCUUCUACAGGAUGGUUUGCAUUUGAACGUUCUAACUCCUGUACAGAAUCAUACAGGUGCUGUAUUUAAUAACUCUCAAACAUCUUGGCAGCAAGUCCUGCAGGCAUGGUGCUGAGAGCUCCUACCGUCCAAACUUCCUCUGGCAAACUCCAAAUCCAAACUACCCCUAAUGGGCAAUUAAUUGCGACUAAUUCUCCUAAUCAGUUCAUCGUAGGCGGAGGUUCCAACAAUGCUUUUGCUGGUCAACUCAGCCCAAUUGUAGCCAGUGUAAGCCCUAGCCAUUCGUUUGCAUCGCCUAAUGGAAAUAAUUGUAACCAACGACAAGAGUUCAUUCAGUGUAUCACCUCUGGACCAAGAACACCUACUCUGAUGGUUCCUUGUUCGAUCACCCCUCAACAGUGCUCACCUCAAAACACAACUGUUGUUCAAAGAAACACUACCAUAGUUCAGCAACAAAUGACAAUGGUUUCAAAUAACAAUCAACAAAAUGUUUUAGAAAAUCAACAAAACCAGGCAUCAAAUUUGAAUCAGCAAAAUCUUCAAAUUUUACACAGUGAUCAGGGAAAUCGAAUCAUGGAAAUCCUGUCAUUAUAACAACAGACAAAAACAACUCAUCCUUCAUUUUAAGUCCCAAAACUGCAAAUGAUAAGAGCACUCAUUAUAUAAUCCAUCAAUCAAAUGUGAAUACAACAGGACAGCUCAAAGCCAACCAGCUUCAUCUUAGCAAGCUGCUCAGUGAGAAAAUCAUUGUGAAUUCCUUCUUAUAACAUCAAGCACAGAUAAACUGUCCAAAAUAGAUAAUUUUGAAUGCAGGAACUGGACAAAAUAACAUUACUGGACCCACAAAGACAGCACCCAACUAUUCUUAAAACAGUCGGUUUCAACG